rnacentral:lncRNA from 1 species
GUACAGGACACAUGUUCUCUUUGGCUUCACCCACCCACAUAUUCUCUAAUAUCCUCUUCUAAUCUUUUGUGUCUGCAAUUGCUGUUACCUGUCCUCUACUAUGUCAGAAAUGUCUCCAGAGAUGAAGACAUCUCUGAGACUGCAAGCCCUGAGCUAUAUAUAGUGUCUUCCACAAUCUCCAGAAUCCCCCAUGGUCCAUGGUAGCAGAAGUAACCAGGUACUUGAGAGGAGUCCAUCCCCCUGAUCCUGGGAAAAGUUCAACAAAAGCUCCUAUAGAGAGUUCUACUCAUCUCUUGGCAUUGGCUCCAAGCCAGGAACAAUCAGAGAAGAAGAACAGAGAUGAGAUAGAAACAAAGCUUUCAAAGCCUCUGGAUGCCCACCAGAUCCUAACAGCCAGAAACAGCAGACCAAGAACAUGAAAGACCCUCAAUUCUGUGCUUGCUGUAUGUAGCCUGGUGAGGAGGCUACAGUAACUGCCACACUGGAUUCACUUACCUAAGAAAACACAAAGCAUCUUUGAUGCUUAUCACGUGGAAGAGCCAGAUGGCAGGGUAUUGGCAUUGAUCAAGAAGCCAGAGGAGGUGAAUUAUGGAUGAAAGAACUGUGACCAAAGUCUGCAGGAGAGAACAUUUGUAGCCAGCUUUCUCCUAACUCUCUGAUGACUGGUCCUCAUGGGCAGAGUCCAGUUGUCAAAUCAUCAACACACUAAUGGGAAGGGAAACAAGAGAUGCAGGGAGAGGAGGAAAUGGAAUGAGAAAAGGAAUUAAGACAUGUUAUGUAUACAUACCAACUCCACACAAGGAAUGGAAACAUUAUGUACUGCAAAUAUCUACUAAUAAAAAUAAAACAAAAUAAAUGCAUAAUCUAUAGUUUAUGGAUAAUUUUUAAGGAUGGAGAAAAAUAGCUUCAGUUUGAAAAGUACAGCUACAGAUCAAUAAAAAAGAAUCCUAGUCAUCUAAGAAUCUUAGCUCAGGAGAAGAUUCAGGAAAUAGACUGAGAAGAUGGUGUCUGAAAGGUCAGAGGGAACCAGUAAAGUGACAUCAUGAAGAAAAAAGGAUAAUGGUUUGGUUCAGAGACUCCUAUGCUGCUUCGCUUGGACUGGGUCAAAAAUGUCCCCAUUUAAUACGUAGUCCACAAAGAGUACAAUGGACCUUCUUCCUCUUCACUGUAUUCUAAAUUCCCGAUAAUAGAUUUCAUUGACUAAUAUAUGCAUCCGAAGUCCAUUGACUUACUCCUUAUCACCAUGUUGGUGGGGUAUUUUUCAAGUUCAAACUAGCCUCACUACAUCACGUCACUUUACAUGGCUUUUACUUA